UUAAAGUGGCUGAAACUAGGCGGUAAACUGUAAAUUUAUUUAUGAGAAUUAACUCUCCUUUAACAC
rnacentral:tRNA from 1 species